UGGGGAAUAUUGGACAAUGGGCGCAAGCCUGAUCCAGCCAUGCCGCGUGAGUGAUGAAGGCCUUAGGGUUGUAAAGCUCUUUCGCCGACGAAGAUAAUGACGGUAGUCGGAGAAGAAGCCCCGGCUAACUUCGUGCCAGCAGCCGCGGUAAUACGAAGGGGGCUAGCGUUGUUCGGAAUCACUGGGCGUAAAGCGCACGUAGGCGGAUUGUUAAGUCAGGGGUGAAAGCCUGGAGCUCAACUCCAGAACUGCCCUUGAUACUGGCAAUCUCGAGUCCGGAAGAGGUAAGUGGAACUGCGAGUGUAGAGGUGAAAUUCGUAGAUAUUCGCAAGAACACCAGUGGCGAAGGCGGCUUACUGGUCCGGUACUGACGCUGAGGUGCGAAAGCGUGGGGAGCAAAACAGGAUUAGAUACCCUGGUAGUCCACGCCGUAAACGAUGGAGGCUAGCCGUUGGCGAGCAUGCUCGUCAGUGGCGCAGCUAACGCAUUAAGCCUCCCGCCUGGGGAGUACGGUCGCAAGAUU
rnacentral:rRNA from 1 species